GUGCCAGCAGCCGCGGUAAUACGUAGGUGGCAAGCGUUAUCCGGAAUUAUUGGGCGUAAAGCGCGCGUAGGCGGUUUUUUAAGUCUGAUGUGAAAGCCCACGGCUCAACCGUGGAGGGUCAUUGGAAACUGGAAAACUUGAGUGCAGAAGAGGAAAGUGGAAUUCCAUGUGUAGCGGUGAAAUGCGCAGAGAUAUAGAGGAACACCGGUGGCGAAGGCGACUUUCUGGUCUGUAACUGACGCUGAUGUGC
rnacentral:rRNA from 1 species